rnacentral:lncRNA from 1 species
UUACCGUUUGCUUCGGAUUAAGAAAAAACUAAUUAUUUCAGACUAUAAUUAAGUUCAAGGUUAAAAUAAAGUUAAAAUAUAUUUAUAUUUAGUUGGGGGUUGGAGUUAGUUCAGAAUAGUAAAAAAUAGUGUUUGGUUUGAGUAUAUGGGAUAAAAAAAAUAGUAGAUUAUUAUGAAUAAAAAAUAGUAUUUGAUUGUGGUUAGGUGGGAUUAGCUAAUUCGGAAUAGCUCAUUUGAGGUGGGAUUAGCUAACCCCACCCAUUUUUUGGGGUGUUUAGAAAUAAUAUGGAGAUUAAGGGGUUAUUCCACCCCUUAAUCCCCAGCCAAACAAAGGCUAAAGAGAUGCAUCAGGGCUGUUUUCCUUACCGAAGCUUGGUGGUUGAUACCGAAAGUUUCAAGUUAUCCUAGUAGAUUUAUAUUUCCAGCUAAAUUUAUUUCUAAAUGAAAUAAACGAAGCGAGUAGCGUGCUACCUAUCUCUCUCAAAAAAAAAGAAGAAGUCUGUUUUCCUUGUUUAAGGAUUCUUGUUAAAUUAGAGAGACGGUUUAAUUACAUAUAAUUAUAAGAAAAAACUUCAAAUACUAUUUCUAUGGUUUUAUUUUUUUUAUUUUAGUACCCUAUUAUUUAAAGUGCAUUAAUUUAAUAUCUUAUGGUUUCGCACAUUCUCACUUUAGUACCAUGUGAUUUAAAGUGCAUCAAUUUAAUACUAUGUGAUUUUAUUCUUUUCUUUUCAUCGGCUCCUCUGUGAAUAUUUCGUUAAAUUAUAUACAAAAAAACUUCAGAUACCCUACCUUGGUUUAUCGAAUAUUUACUUUAAUACCAUUUAGUUUUAAUUUUAUCGUUGCUUUUUUUUUUUCCUCCGUUAAUAUUUCGUUAACUUAUAUACAAAAAACUUUAGAUAUCUUAUCUAGAUUUAUCGAAUAUUCACUUUAGUACCCUUUAGUUUUAACUUUGUCACUGAUUUAACAAAAAAAAUAUGUAAAAUGAAUAAUAAAAAGAGAAAAAUAAAACCAUAGGAUACUAACUUGAUACAUUUUAACCACAGAAUACUAAAGUGAGAAAGUGCGAAACCACAUGAGCUAACUUGAUAUAUUUUAAACCACAAGGUACUAAAGUGAUAAAGUGUGAAACCACGGGGGAUACUUGAAGUUUACCCUAAUUAUAAAUACAAUAUAAAUAUAAUUAUAGAUACAUAUAAUUAAAAAUAUGUAAUUAUAAUUAUAUGUAUUUUAGCUGCGUGCGGUUUAAAGCAUUAUAUUUAUUUAUACACAAUUUGUUUAGCUACGUACGAUUGUGAAGUCCAUUUAUAAACGGCCAAUUUGCAUAAAAAAAUUUCAUUAAUUUUGAGCUUUUGUAAAAUAAUCUGUCUUUUUAAAUUUUGCAGAUUCGAACCGAAUUUUCAGAAAACUAACUAAAAUAUCAUUAUUUUCUUUUCUCUCUCGUGGAAGCAGAAGGGGAGGCUGAGGUGGCUCGCCCCGCCUUUGUUCCGCGCUCCCUCACCCUCGCCCUCGCCAGCCUGAUGGAAAAGGUGAUUGACAUCGAGGUCAGCCACCGAGUGGGCCGCCUCCGCCUCCGCUUCCGCUUCCACCGCCCUCUUUGGAGAGAGAAAAAGAAGGAGAGAGAAAAAAAAAAAGGAGAGAAAAGAGAAUUAGGUAUUUUGAUCAGUUUUCUGAAAAUUUGGUUCGAAUCUGCAAAAUCCAAAAAGGCGGCCUACUUUUACAAAAAUUGAAAAUUAAUAGAUUUUUUAUGCAAAUUGGCCUUUGUAAAAUUAAUUAUUCUAUAUAUGGAAGGUAAGAUUAGUCCAUACACAGGAAAAAAAAAAGUUAAAAAUUACUUUUAUUUUAAUUUUUGUUAUUGUUUGCCUAAAAAUAUUUUAAAAUAAUAAUAAAAAAUAUAGUGUAAGUGCUCUUGUCUAAUAAUAAUAUAAAAUGUUUAGAAAAUAUUACUUAGGAUUAAAUUGGUCUCCUCAGCAUAUAUUUCGACUUCACAAAUUGUUGAUCUUUGCUGGUGUUUAUUCAAAAAAAAAAAAAGAAGAAAAUUUUCAAUCUAAGCACAACAAUACGUUUCCACCAAGAAAUAAAAAAAUAAAAAACUGAAGAUUAAAGACCGAUGAUAUCACCCAUUACGUACAUUAUAAUAAUUAUAAAAAUGAGAAUCAUUUUUAUUUAAAAUCUUUUUUUUUUUCUGCAUGUUAGUUGGAGAUUUUUCUUAUUCUGUAAAUUUCAAGUGUUAUAUAUCUCAUCUUUCAAGCUGAAUUAGCUAUUUUUUAAAACUUAAUAUAUAUAUAUACACGAUAUUACGAUGUGAGUAAUAAUAAAAAGAAGAUAAAAGAUGAAGACCAAUGAUAUAUGUCACACCUUACGUUGGCUUCAAAGACAAAGUCACAAAUGUUGAUAGAGCUCUCUCUAAAAUAAAUAAAAUAAUUAAAAAGAGACCUCUUCGAUCGCCCAAACUCACGUCCUCUCCAAAAAUCAAAAUUGGAACGCCAAGUCGCCUACACGCCCAAGCAGCAUUAAUAAUUCCAAGGAUUUUGAAAUUUGCUGAUCCUUUUCUGAUUUUUAGUAAAUAAUAAUAAUAAUAAUAAUAAUAAUAAAACUAGUCAAAAAUAAUAUAUAUAUAUAUAGAGAAAGAGAGAGAGAGCUAGAUUGGUGUACUAUCGGUAGCACGAAAGCCUCCGUGCUACCAAGUUAUUUUCGAUGAUGCGGCUUCCAAAUCGACGAUUGGCUCUGUUAGACUUGAUCUACACAAUUAAAAGUAUUUGGAAACUAAAUUUCAUAAGUUUUCGGUAUUAUUUACCUAUCAAACACGCAAGUAGUCUAAAAAUGAACGUCUGAAAAUAAAAAUCUCAUAAAAAAUGAUGGUAAAAAAUUUGAAUUUAAAAUCAGAGGUACUGAUCUUACUCUAAAUAGUGAAAAGAAUUUUCUAUAAAAAUUUCAUCAGAUUUGGAUUGUUUUACACCGUUAAAUUCACAAACUCAUCACAUCUACCAUUAAAAUUGUCAAUUUUUGAGAUAUUUUUGAUCACUAGCCAAAUGAUGUUGAAAAAUUAUGAAAUUUAGUUUCCAAAUACUUUCAAUAGUGUAGAUCAAGUCUAUCGGAGCUGAUCGUCGAUUUGAAAGCCGCAUUAUUGAAAACAACUUGGUAGCACGGGGGGCCUCCGUGCUACCGAUAGUAUACCGGCUUAGCUCUCUCUCUCUCUCUCUCUCUCUCUCUCUCUCUCUCUCUCUCUCUCUCUCUCUCUCUCUNACCACAAGGUACUAAAGUGAUAAAGUGUGAAACCACGGGGGAUACUUGAAGUUUACCCUAAUUAUAAAUACAAUAUAAAUAUAAUU